GAUACCCGAAUGGGGAAACCCAGUGUGACUCGUCACACUAUCAUUAACUGAAUCCAUAGGUUAAUGAGGCGAACCGGGGGAACUGAAACAUCUAAGUACCCCGAGGAAAAGAAAUCAACCGAGAUUCCCCCAGUAGCGGCGAGCGAACGGGGAGGAGCCCAGAGCCUGAAUCAGCAUGUGUGUUAGUGGAAGCGUCUGGAAAGGCGCGCGAUACAGGGUGACAGCCCCGUACACAAAAGCGCAUGUGCUGUGAGCUCGAUGAGUAGGGCGGGACACGUGGUAUCCUGUCUGAAUAUGGGGGGACCAUCCUCCAAGGCUAAAUACUCCUGACUGACCGAUAGUGAACCAGUACCGUGAGGGAAAGGCGAAAAGAACCCCGGCGAGGGGAGUGAAAAAGAACCUGAAACCGUGUACGUACAAGCAGUGGGAGCACCCUUUGGGUGUGACUGCGUACCUUUUGUAUAAUGGGUCAGCGACUUAUAUUCUGUAGCAAGGUUAACCGAAUAGGGGAGCCGGAGGGAAACCGAGUCUUAAUUGGGCGUUAAGUUGCAGGGUAUAGACCCGAAACCCGGUGAUCUAGCCAUGGGCAGGUUGAAGGUUGGGUAACACUAACUGGAGGACCGAACCGACUAAUGUUGAAAAAUUAGCGGAUGACCUGUGGCUGGGGGUGAAAGGCCAAUCAAACCGGGAGAUAGCUGGUUCUCCCCGAAAGCUAUUUAGGUAGCGCCUCGUGAAUUCAUCUCCGGGGGUAGAGCACUGUUUCGGCUAGGGGGCCAUCCCGGCUUACCAACCCGAUGCAAACUGCGAAUACCGGAGAAUGUUAUCACGGGAGACACACGGCGGGUGCUAACGUCCGUCGUGAAGAGGGAAACAACCCAGACCGCCAGCUAAGGUCCCAAAGUCAUGGUUAAGUGGGAAACGAUGUGGGAAGGCCCAGACAGCCAGGAUGUUGGCUUAGAAGCAGCCAUCAUUUAAAGAAAGCGUAAUAGCUCACUGGUCGAGUCGGCCUGCGCGGAAGAUGUAACGGGGCUAAACCAUGCACCGAAGCUGCGGCAGCGACGCUUAUGCGUUGUUGGGUAGGGGAGCGUUCUGUAAGCCUGCGAAGGUGGCCUGUGAGGGUUGCUGGAGGUAUCAGAAGUGCGAAUGCUGACAUAAGUAACGAUAAAGCGGGUGAAAAGCCCGCUCGCCGGAAGACCAAGGGUUCCUGUCCAACGUUAAUCGGGGCAGGGUGAGUCGACCCCUAAGGCGAGGCCGAAAGGCGUAGUCGAUGGGAAACGGGUUAAUAUUCCCGUACUUGGUGUUACUGCGAAGGGGGGACGGAGAAGGCUAUGUUGGCCGGGCGACGGUUGUCCCGGUUUAAGCGUGUAGGCUGGUUUUCCAGGCAAAUCCGGAAAAUCAAGGCUGAGGCGUGAUGACGAGGCACUACGGUGCUGAAGCAACAAAUGCCCUGCUUCCAGGAAAAGCCUCUAAGCAUCAGGUAACAUCAAAUCGUACCCCAAACCGACACAGGUGGUCAGGUAGAGAAUACCAAGGCGCUUGAGAGAACUCGGGUGAAGGAACUAGGCAAAAUGGUGCCGUAACUUCGGGAGAAGGCACGCUGACACGUAGGUGAAGUGAUUUACUCACGGAGCUGAAGUCAGUCGAAGAUACCAGCUGGCUGCAACUGUUUAUUAAAAACACAGCACUGUGCAAACACGAAAGUGGACGUAUACGGUGUGACGCCUGCCCGGUGCCGGAAGGUUAAUUGAUGGGGUCAGCGCAAGCGAAGCUCCUGAUCGAAGCCCCGGUAAACGGCGGCCGUAACUAUAACGGUCCUAAGGUAGCGAAAUUCCUUGUCGGGUAAGUUCCGACCUGCACGAAUGGCGUAAUGAUGGCCAGGCUGUCUCCACCCGAGACUCAGUGAAAUUGAACUCGCUGUGAAGAUGCAGUGUACCCGCGGCAAGACGGAAAGACCCCGUGAACCUUUACUAUAGCUUGACACUGAACAUUGAGCCUUGAUGUGUAGGAUAGGUGGGAGGCUUUGAAGUGUGGACGCCAGUCUGC
rnacentral:rRNA from 1 species